rnacentral:rRNA from 1 species
CACCAGGCGCGAAAACUUUACAAUGCCGGCAACGGCGAUAAGGGAACCUCGAGUGCCAGGUUACAAAUCUGGCUGUCGUGAUGCCUAAAAAGCAUUGCAUAGCAAGGGCCGGGCAAGACCGGUGCCAGCCGCCGCGGUAACACCGGCGGCUCGAGUGGUAACCGUUAUUAUUGGGUCUAAAGGGUCUGUAGCCGGCCGGGUAAGUCUCUUGGGAAAUCUGGCAGCUUAACUGUCAGGCUUUCAGGAGAUACUGCCUGGCUCGAGGCCGGGAGAGGUGAGAGGUACUUCAGGGGUAGGGGUGAAAUCUUGUAAUCCUUGAAGGACCACCAGUGGCGAAGGCGUCUCACCAGAACGGACCUUACGGCAAGGGACGAAAGCUAGGGGCACGAACCGGAUUAGAUACCCGGGUAGUCCUAGCCGUAAACGAUACUCGCUAGGUGUCGGCCACGGUGCGACCGUGGUCGGUGCCGUAGGGAAGCCGUGAAGCGAGCCACCUGGGAAGUACGGCCGCAAGGCUGAAACUUAAAGGAAUUGGCGGGGG